UAGGGAAUCUUCGGCAAUGGACGAAAGUCUGACCGAGCAACGCCGCGUGAGUGAAGAAGGUUUUCGGAUCGUAAAACUCUGUUGUUAGAGAAGAACAAGGACGUUAGUAACUGAACGUCCCCUGACGGUAUCUAACCAGAAAGCCACGGCUAACUACGUGCCAGCAGCCGCGGUAAUACGCAGGUGGCAAGCGUUGUCCGGAUUUAUUGGGCGUAAAGCGAGCGCAGGCGGUUUCUUAAGUCUGCUGUGAAAGCCCCCGGCUCAACCGGGGAGGGUCAUUGGAAACUGGGAGACUUGAGUGCAGAAGAGGAGAGUGGAAUUCCAUGUGUAGCGGUGAAAUGCGUAGAUAUAUGGAGGAACACCAGUGGCGAAGGCGGCUCUCUGGUCUGUAACUGACGCUGAGGCGCGAAAGCGUGGGGAGCAAACAGG
rnacentral:rRNA from 1 species